UUUUUUUUUAAUGUCUUGAUGGCUGACUAGAUUUUUUGUGAUUGGUAUGAGCCCUGCAGAAUAUAAGCUGUGGAUAUCUAGUGCUGGCCUGUAGUUAACCACUGUGGCUUACAGGUUGAUUGCUUUGUGGGCACUAAGAGUAAUAAAAAGCCUAAGAUUUCAAAAGGAAAUGAAAAAAGUUAAAAUGAGGUAUUGCAUGGCAGAUCCACAGAGAAGCAAGACGGAGGGCUGUGACGACGUAAUUCUCCUGGAGAGCCAUCAAAAAAUAUAUAUGGUGAUUUGACUAGUAAAGGUGAAGUCAGCUGUACAUUAAAAAGGCCUUCAAAAUAAGCAAAACUUAAUGGUAUAAGAAGAGUUCUUUAAAAUUAUGGACCUUGGGUUUAGAGAAGAUUUUAUGAAUUUGACA